UUGAAAACUGUUGUGAACAUUUUGUCAAGUGGAAUAGUAUGUCAUGUGUUUCAUUACUAUCAUUUAUUUCUGUACUGUACUGUUUACUACAGAUCCAACAUUGUAUUGUAAAUAUUAUCCCCGUUUACAGCCGUGCGUUUAAGUUCAGCCUUUUCUGCGUGGACAACUUGCUAUCUUUUGUAUGGUGUCAGCUUACAGGAAUGUUCCCAGAUACUUUAUCAGGUCAGAGCAGGAACCAGGGCAUUCAAAAUCGGACUCUGUACACAGCAGGCGGGAAGUUCCAUCACAUUGCUGGAUGUAGAAGACGGUACAUUUUACUCUAGUGACAAGACGACAGUUUUCUAAAAGGAGUUUUAGUUGUAGAUCACCACGUGUUAUCACCAUGCCUCCAAAGCGCAAGGCAGUACUCAACCACUCCGCCGUGAAGGGACGUGCUAGAGCUGCGAAACGACAGGCAACGGGGGUACGUGCAUCUGGAGCACUGCCCCCGAGGCCUGUCAGGCCCAACAACCGGAGGCAUCCCCUGCGGCGACCACCACCACACCUCCGCUAGAGUCGACCCCGCUCCGUCAGUCAACGCACAAGAAGCCAACACAGAUGCAAGAAAAGCCUGAUGGCAAAGAUGAUUGAUUAUCUUCCAUAUGUAUUGAUGAAAUGAAGUAUUCUUUAAAACA